rnacentral:rRNA from 1 species
GACGAACGCUGGCGGCGUGCUUAACACAUGCAAGUCGAACGGAAAGGCCCUGCUUUUGUGGGGUGCUCGAGUGGCGAACGGGUGAGUAACACGUGAGUAACCUGCCCUUGACUUUGGGAUAACUUCAGGAAACUGGUGCUAAUACCUGAUAGGAGCUCCUGCUGCAUGGUGGGGGUUGGAAAGUUUCGGCGGUUGGGGAUGGACUCGCGGCUUAUUAGCUUGUUGGUGGGGUAGUGGCUUACCAAGGCUUUGACGGGUAGCCGGCCUGAGAGGGUGACCGGCCACAAUGGGACUGAGAUACGGCCCAGACUCCUACGGGAGGCAGCAGUGGGGAACAUUGCACAAUGGGCGGAAGCCUGAUGCAGCAACGCCGCGUGCGGGAUGACGGCCUUCGGGUUGUAAACCGCUUUCGCCUGUGACGAAGCGUGAGUGACGGUAAUGGGUAAAGAAGCACCGGCUAACUACGUG